CAAUAGCGUAUAUUAAAGUUGUUGCAGUUAGAACGCUCGUAGUCGGAUUUCGGGGCGGGCCGACCGGUCUGCCGAUGGGUACGCACUGGUCGGCGCGUCCUUCCUUCCGGAGACCGUGCCUACUCUUAACUGAGCGGGGGCGGGAGACGGAUCGUUUACUUUGAAAAAAUCAGAGUGUUUCAAGCAGGCAGCUCGCUCUUGCAUGGAUUAGCAUGGGAUAAUGAAAUAGGACUUUGGUGCCAUUUUGUUGGUUUCGAACACCGAAGUAAUGAUUAAAAGGGACAGUCAGGGGCACUCGUAUUCCGCCGAGAGAGGUGAAAUUCUCAGACCAGCGGAAGACGAACUACUGCGAAAGCAUUUGCCAGGGAUGUUUUCACUG
rnacentral:rRNA from 1 species